rnacentral:lncRNA from 1 species
UGAAUUGCUUUAUUAAUAAUAAUAACAGACUUUGAACAUAAACAUAUAAACAAUCUUUGAAAGCUUUAAAUAAACAUACAACUUUGUAAAACUUUGAAACAGAAGAAAAUAUAGACUUACAAGAGGAGUUACAAGGUUUCUCUCUCUCUCUUACUCACUCUUUUCACUCUAAUAUCUUCUGUGAGAAUUAGACUCAGGAAGAGCUUUC